CACAGGACUGAUAGCCCUAUAAACACAGGUCAGGUGGGAGGGUAUUAGUAGAAUAAGCUUAGGAUGUUGGUUAAGCCCUUUCCUCAUCACCCGCCUCUGUCACCAGUUUUCUCCUCAGCCUCCAGAGCUGGUAGAGUCAAUCCUUGUUCUGCUCCAUCUCUUUUCUAUCAUCGUUGAAGAGGAAUGCUUUCAGUACCUUGUUGGGUUCUUCCACGUAUGGCCUCAGUAGAGCUAGGUUUCAUUGUCUUUCUUCUGUUAGCUUGGUACACUCUAGCAUAAAAUGGACUUCAUUUCCUUCCUCUUUUCCACAGAGCUUAAUUACCGUUAUCACCUCAUCCACCGUCUGCUCAAUGUGUGAGGAAUACGGAGACAAAGGCUGCUUGAUAAUUAAACAAGUUCUGUGUUUUCUCAGGAAGUUCAUUGCUGGCAGUGGUUCAGGAGACAGUGGUUCGAUCCCAGCUGUAGAACGUCACCUGCAGGAAGUAGCAUUGUGAUGGCCAGCCACGAGGCGCGUUUAUCCAGCCACAUUGUCCAGAAACCAUCACAUCAUCUCCAGGUCACUGGUCGCUGGUGCUCGAGUUGACUGUGUCUUCAACGGCUCCACGGUGACCAGCGCCGCCACCGCCGAGACCAUCCGAUUCCUGAAAUGAUAAUGGCCGUACACGAACAAGAGGCUCUAUGCAUCCAGAUGCAAGUCAAGCGCCAUGCUCAGAGGCGUCAUCCGGAGAAGGUCGCACAGUGCACUUUAGGCUGAGCUCGGGUGUAGUGCGCGCUGACGGAUAGGAUGAAAUUACGGGCCGGCCAUCAGAUUUCAGUGCGGGGAUCAAGAUGGUCGGAGCCGACGUGGCUCGGUUGAUGGUGUGCCAGGGUUAAUUGAGAGUGGAGGCGAGACACCCGGAUCUGUGAAGGAUACGCCAAUACGGGUCUCGACGUCGUCUCGCAAUUUGUGCUAUGUAAUAUGACGGCUAUGCCGUGGUAUCAUUCACUCUCGAUGCGCUAAUAAAUAAUAAAUAGGACAGACUGGAAUUAAUAUUAUUAUAUUUGGAUGUAAGGGGCAGGUUUUGGCCAGCGCUAUAUUAGAAAUCGUGAGCGUGCUAGUUGCAAUUAAUCGCGCGCUUCCUGCUGAGCAUCUGUGAGCGAGAAAAUACUUUCUCUGGAACGUUCGUCGUAAAAUAUGUGUAUCUUUGGAAUAAGUUGUCAGAACAUGAAUGAAUUUUUUGUGUCCACUGCAGCUGCUGUUCUGGAACAGAAACAUGCCGAGAUCGGUUGUGUAUGUACUAUGUACGCUGUAGCAAAAUCAAGCAGCCGUACCAUGAAUCAAAAGCGAUAUGUGAAUUAAAGUGGAUAUUUUUCA
rnacentral:lncRNA from 1 species